rnacentral:lncRNA from 1 species
UUUGACUUUCUCGAGGUUGAUUUUUUGUAAAACACUCCAGAUCAUGUUUUCAUAUUAUUUGGUGAUUUUUUAUGCAUUAAAAACUUUGAUUGCACCUCGAAAAGUGUGAAAUUACGAAAAUACCUUUAAAGGGUAACUUCGUAAUUUGACCUUCCCGAGAUUGAUUUUUCAUGAAAAAUUUCAAAUCAUAAUUCCAUAUUAUUUUAGGAUUUU